GUAGUUUUCAAAAAUGUUUUUAUUUUUGAUGAGACGCUCAAUGAAAGAGGUUUAAUCGCCGGAAAACGAAAACCCGCGAUUUCCCGUAAUUCCCGGGCUUGGCCCGUAUAGUCGAAUGUAUACAAAGAAAGUAUCCUGUGAGUAAACUCAUUUCCAGAACGAUUUUUUAAAUUAUUUUUUCACCACUAAAACGCAUCAGACUUGUAGUUUUUAAAAAUGUUUUAAUUUUUGAUGAGACGCUGAAUAAAAGAAGUUUAAUCGCCGGCAAACGAAAACCCCCGAUUUCCCGUAAAUACCGGCUUGGCCCGUAUAGUCAAAAGUAUACAAAGAAAGUACCCAGGGUGUAAACUCAUUUCCCGAACGAUUUUUUAAAUUAUUUUUUCACCACUAAAACGCAUGAGACUUGUAGUUUUUAAAAAUGUUUUCAUUUUUGAUGAAACGCUGAAUAAAAGAAGUUUAAUUGCCGGCAAACGAAAACCUGCGAUUUCCCGUAAAUCCUGGACUCGGCCGUAUAGUCAAAAGUAUACAAAGAAAGUACCCAGGGAGUAAACCCAUUUCCCAAACGAUUUUUUAAAUUAUUAUUUCACCACUAAAACGCAUGAGACUUGUAGUUUUCAAGAAUGUUUUCAUUUUUGAUGAGACGCUGCAUAAAAGCAGUUUAAUCGCCGGCAAACGAAAACCCGCGAUUUCCCGUAAAUCCCGGGCUUGGCACGUAUAGUCGAAUGUAUACAAAGAAAGUACCCUGAGAGUAAACUCAUUUCCAGAACGAUUUUUUAAAUUAUUUUUUCACCACUAAAACGCAUAAGACUUGUAGUUUUUAAAAAUAUUUUCACUUUUGAUGAGACGCUGAAUAAAAGAAGUAUAAUCGCCGGCAAACGAAAACCCGCGAUUUCCCGUAAAUCCCGGGCUUGGCCCGUAUAGUCAAAAGUAUACAAAGAAGGUACACAGGGAGUAAACUCAUUUCCCGAACGAUUUUUUAUAUUAUUUUUUUACCACUAAACGCAUGAGACUUGUAGUUUUCAAAAAUAUUUUCAUAUUUGAUGGGACGCUGAAUAAAAGAAGUUUAAUUGCCGGCAAACGAAAAUCCGCGAUUUUCCGUAAAUCCCGGACUCGGCCCGUAUAGUCAAAAGUAUACAAAGAAAGUACCCAGGGAGUAAACUCAUUUCCCGAACGAUUUUUGAAAUUAUUUUUUCACCACUAAAACGCAGGAGACUUGUAGUUGUCAAAAAUGUUUUCAUUUUUGAUGAGACGCUGAAUAAAAGCAGUUUAAUCGCCGGCAAACGAAAACCUGCGAUUUCCCUAAAUCCCGGACUCGGCCCGUAUAGUCGAAUGUAUACAAAGAAAGUACCCUGAGAGUAAACUCAUUUCCCGAACGAUUUUUUAAAUUAUUUUUUCACCACUAAAACGCAUGAGACUUGUAGUUUUCAAAAAUGUUUUCAUUUUUGAUGAGACGCUGAAUAAAAGCAGUUUAAUCGCCGGCAAACGAAAACCUGCGAUUUCCCUAAAUCCCGGACUCGGCCCGUAUAGUCAAAAGUAUACAAAGAAAGUACCCAGGGAGUAAACUCAUUUCCCGAACGAUUUUUUAAAUUAUUUUUUCACCACUAAAACGCAUGAGACUUGUAGUUUUCAAAAAUGUUUUCAUUUUUGAUGAGACGCUGAAUAAAAGCAGUUUAAUCGCCGACAAACGAAAACCUGCGAUUUCCCUAAAUCCCGGACUCGGCCCGUAUAGUCAAAAGUAUACAAAGAAAGUACCCAGGUAUUAAACUCAUUUCCAGAACGAUUUUUUAAAUUAUUGCGAUGCAAUUGAGCUUUGCGAGCGAAGCGAGCGAAGCGAAAUUGUGGAGCACGUUUGCUACACGCGAGGUAUACCAAGAGAAUUAUUGAGAUUCUCAAAAUUUCGAUAGAAAAAAAAUCAUAUAAAAUCAGCGUAAAGAAAUAGGACUGAUAUUUUUGCACAUAAAGCUAGGGUAUUUUUUUUUCUAAUAAAACAAAUAAGUUUGGACCGAGGGGUUAAAGUAUAAGUUUAGUAAAAAAUGCAAUAAGUACGGCUCGUACCCCCCCACCCCCGGAUUUUGACCCCCCCCCGUCUUUUGGUCCGGAUUAUACGUCCGCCGAACUUGAACACACAAAGAGAAAUAUGCCGUGAACAAGAAACGGUAGUCGGCAUUUUAGACACGUAUAUUUUACAGACCCAAAAUAUGCCUUAUUUCUUUGUAUUAUAGCUAAUUAUUGUAUAAAUAAUUAAUUAAUUACUUUGCAAUUUUGCUUCUUAUACUAUUAUAGUUGUAUUUUAAUGAAACAUAAUAGUAUUAAAACGGUUUUCUUCUUUCGAAAAAAUUUAUUGCUAGUCCUGUUUUUAAUCGACUUUACUUGUGUAUUUUAAGCUUUUUUGUUGCUGUGCUUUUUCUGGAGAUUUUAGUUGGAUUGGAAAGCUCCUGUGUAAGGUACCCAUUCCUAAAGAAAAAUUGAAGUAAUUUGUACAAUUAAAACGCGCCGAGCUGUGUUUUAUUUUAUUGUUUCUAAGAGGAUGUAAGAAUACAAUAUUAUCAAUUUUAAUUGGUUUUAUCCAAAUCAAGAUUGUGUACAAUGGGAGUGAGUGAUGUAAUCUUCUAAUGCGUGUGGUGAAAAGAAGGCGAAUCCGUUAUUGUUUUUCUGCCCAAAUUUGAAGCUAUUUAAUAAAUCUUGAUAAAGUUAAAAAACUGUUUUGA